rnacentral:rRNA from 1 species
AACGAACGCUGGCGGCAUGCCUAACACAUGCAAGUCGAACGAGACCUUCGGGUCUAGUGGCGCACGGGUGCGUAACGCGUGGGAACCUGCCCUUAGGUUCGGAAUAACUCCCCGAAAGGGGUGCUAAUACCGGAUAAUGUCUUCGGACCAAAGAUUUAUCGCCUUUGGGUGGGCCCGCGUUGGAUUAGCUUGUUGGUAGGGUAAAAGCCUACCAAGGCGACGAUCCAUAGCUGGUCUGAGAGGAUGAUCAGCCACACUGGGACUGAGACACGGCCCAGACUCCUACAGGAGGCAGCAGUGGGGAAUAUUGGACAAUGGGCGAAAGCAUGAUCCAGCAAUGCCGCGUGAGUGAUGAAGGCCUUAGGGUUGUAAAGCUCUUUUACCCGGGAUGAUAAUGACAGUACCGGGAGAAUAAGCUCCGGCUAACUCCGUG